rnacentral:rRNA from 1 species
ACUCCUACGGGAGGCAGCAGUGGGGAAUAUUGCACAAUGGGGGAAACCCUGAUGCAGCCAUGCCGCGUGUGUGAAGAAGGCCUGGUUGUAAAGCACUUUCAGUAGGGAGGAAGGUAGUGUAGUUAACACCUGCAUUAUUUGUACGUUACCUACAGAAGAAGCACCGGCUAACUCCGUGCCAGCAGCCGCGGUAAGUACGGAGGGUGCGAGCGUUAAUCGGAAGUUACUGGGCGUAAAGCGCAUGCAGGCGGCCUGUUAAGUCAGAUGUGAAAGCCCGGGGUCUUAACCUCGGAAUUGCAUUUGAAACUGGCGAGGCUAGAGUCUUGUAGAGGGGUUAGGAAUUUCGAGGUGUAGCGGUGAAAUGCGUAGAGAUCGUGAAGGAAUACCGAGU